AAAUGACAGCCAAAAGCUAUGUGAAAUUGCAUAUUAUAGGUCUCAGUGGGUUGUUCUUCUGAAGCAUUUUUUGGGCAGUAAUAGACAUGCUGAAAAAGGCAAUUGAGACACUGCUUAUGUGCAGCCCUAAAGAUCUCUGACAGAUAAACUGAACAAAGAACAUAAGUUGAUUGACUGUAUGUGACUUUAGAAAUACUUGCAAUGGGCUAAGAACAUCCCUUUAAACAUGUCUGUAUAGACAGAUUCAGGCAGUUAUGUACUAGUUCUUUCAACAUUCUGGGCUGGCCAGUCCCAAGUCAUCUCUGGAUCAGGUGCUGUCUAACUUAAUUUGAGAGAGGCUGUAUCUCAUUCUAAAGCAUCACACUUCUACCUGUAUAGACGAUGUACCAAUAUUUUCACUGUUCUUGUAAGGUAACAAAACCUGUUCAUCCCCCUUUACAGAUGGUGGUCUGAAGAGAACAUGAAUGACUUGCUUGGACAUCACACAGAAAAACUGUGAAGAAAAACUGCGUUUAUUUCCUAAAGUGAGUGCUAACACAAUGGCCAUUAAACAACUGUAUAUA